GAGCUCGUAGGCGGUUUGUCGCGUCUGCUGUGAAAUCCCGAGGCUCAACCUCGGGCCUGCAGUGGGUACGGGCAGACUAGAGUGCGGUAGGGGAGAUUGGAAUUCCUGGUGUAGCGGUGGAAUGCGCAGAUAUCAGGAGGAACACCGAUGGCGAAGGCAGAUCUCUGGGCCGUAACUGACGCUGAGGAGCGAAAGGGUGGGGAGCAAACAGGCUUAGAUACCCUGGUAGUCCACCCCGUAAACGUUGGGAACUAGUUGUGGGGACCAUUCCACGGUUUCCGUGACGCAGCUAACGCAUUAAGUUCCCCGCCUGGGGAGUACGGCCGCAAGGCUAAAACUCAAAGGAAUUGACGGGGACCCGCACAAGCGGCGGAGCAUGCGGAUUAAUUCGAUGCAACGCGAAGAACCUUACCAAGGCUUGACAUAUACGAGAACGGGCCAGAAAUGGUCAACUCUUUGGACACUCGUAAACAGGUGGUGCAUGGUUGUCGUCAGCUCGUGUCGUGAGAUGUUGGGUUAAGUCCCGCAACGAGCGCAACCCUCGUUCUAUGUUGCCAGCACGUAAUGGUGGGAACUCAUGGGAUACUGCCGGGGUCAACUCGGAGGAAGGUGGGGAUGACGUCAAAUCAUCAUGCCCCUUAUGUCUUGGGCUUCACGCAUGCUACAAUGGCCGGUACAAAGGGCUGCAAUACCGUGAGGUGGAGCGAAUCCCAAAAAGCCGGUCCCAGUUCGGAUUGAGGUCUGCAACUCGACCUCAUGAAGUCGGAGUCGCUAGUAAUCGCAGAUCAGCAACGCUGCGGUGAAUACGUUCCCGGGUCUUGUACACACCGCCCGUCAAGUCAUGAAAGUCGGUAACACCUGAAGCCGGUGGCCCAACCCUUGUGGAGGGAGCCGUCGAAGGUGGGAUCGGUAAUUAGGACGAAGUCGUA
rnacentral:rRNA from 1 species